rnacentral:antisense_RNA from 1 species
GGGCCGCCGGGCCGGGGUCGCCGCCCGGGCUCGGUCAGUCGGUACCUUCAUGAAGGUCUCUACCGCGCCUUUGGCCGUGUCCAGAGCCAUAGAAUACCUGUUUCAGAGCUGAAGGGUACCUGAGCCCAUGAUAAUCCAUUACCUCGUGAGAAAGCGGAAAAACUGACUUCAGCUUGCCCAGAUGGCGCAGAGAAUGGGUUUCCCGUAACCCCGCCUGUGUCUUUCCUUCAGCCUCGUCCCAAAUGCCGUGGGAGGGAAGGCACUCUCUGUCAAGCUGCUGUCACCUUACCUGAAGUAAGGAGUCCACGCCUGCAUGUCCGAGGAAAACAGUUUUCUCAAACACAUUAGUUGAAAAACUGAAGACGCUGCCUAAAAUACAAGCUGAGUUAGAGACAGCCCUUGUAAGACUAGAAAAAGAAAUGGAAACUAAGUAACAUGAAUUAACAUAGUCCAGGGUCACAAAGCAAAAUGGAACAAGAACCUGGAUCUGAAUUCAGAGGCAGAAUGCUGGAAUCUAAGCCAGAAUGAGGUUACUGCCUAUGCAAAGAAGAAGACAGCUCAUCACAGGCCUGAGAAUCAGGAGAGUCAAUGGUAUUAGUGCUUGUCCGGAAGCCAUCAUGCUUCAAAACCAAGAAGAGCUGAUUUUCCAGUUGGAGUCUAAAGGAAAGGCCUUGUGAGGACAUAACCAGGAAGAGAGUCCUCACCAGAACCUGACCAUAACUGCACCCUGAUCUCAAGCUUCCAGCUUCCAGAACCAUGAGAAAUCAAUGUUUGUUGUUUUAGCCACCCAGUCUACAGAAAUUUGUUAUAGCCACCCUAGCUGACUACC